CAGAGGACCAAAUCCGGUUACACACCCAACAACCCGUCACUGCCGAGGUCCGGUAUUCACUACCGAGGUCCAAAUGCCGGACCUCGGUUUUCAGAGGCCUUAAAUGAGAUAUUUAGUCUUGUUUGAACAUGUUUAUUCGAUUUUCAGCUGGUCCUCGAAAAACGCAAUUAUACGCAUUUUUACUUCCGGUUGUGUAAAGUGUGUUAUCUUGGACGAACUGCGCGCGUGUGUAAGUUUUUCAGGUGGCAAGGUCACGUGGAAGAGAAUAGAGAUGAAUAAGGAAAUGCAAAAUCACGCUGCUCCAUGAUGUGGUCUCAUCACUUGUAAGUUGUUUGCGUUUGGUAUAAGCAUUUAAAUCACAUUGAAUCACGUUGAAACUGGUGAUGAAAGAUAUUAAUGUAAAUUGUGUUAAGUCACAUGGGAUACGUAGCUCUAUCGCCGCCAUUGCGCGUUCUUGGAACGAGCGCGACGGUGACGUUGCGGUGUGCGGCCUCUCGGACGAGAAGACUGGGCUUACGUUGGAUGCAAGUUAUUGUCGUCCGGCAAGGUUUUAAAAAGUGAUGUUAUAGCCACUGGACAUUGAAGCGAUUGAAGACCAGAAAGCCUUAGUGCGACCGGCUUGAUUCAGAUUACUCCCGAGAGCGACACUCGUUAAGGAUGCGAGUAUUUGAAGUUCCGCUUUCAAGCAUUGGACGGCCUGCAAAUUACCAUUGGAGCCAAACUGUAUGCAUUUUCUAGAUGAUCUUAAAUACGGAGCGGUAUUCUAAAGAUGUAGUUGUGCAGUGUGUAGUUCGUAGAUUACGAAACAACGGAGCGAGAAUACAGUUGGCGUUCCGUUUUGGGUCAGUUAUUUUGUUUUCCUUUUUCCAUGUUUUAAAGUCGCUGUGCUUUAUGCUCAGGAUCGAAGCAAAAUGUACAGGAGUAGGCUGCGAUGUGAUGCGUGUUGUAUAAAACCAAUAAACCAAAAAUGGCA